rnacentral:misc_RNA from 1 species
ACACCAUGGGAGUUGGUUUCACCCGAAGGCUGUGCGCUAACCCGCAAGGGAGGCAGCAGACCACGGUGGAUUCAGCGAUUGGGGUGAAGUCGUAACAAGGUAGCCGUAGGGGAACCUGCGGCUGGAUCACCUCCUUUCUAAGGAUCUUUGCGAAAGCGCCGGGGCUUGCCCCCGGAAGAGCUUCGCAAUCUCCAAAGAACACUGCCGUCGUCCUCAUGUCCUUUCAUCACUGGAAAAUCACCGCGGGGUCUGCUCGCGUGUGACGCCUGAGCUGGCUCACGCCCAAGCGGCCUUUCGGCCGGCUGGGGGGCGGGCCUGUAGCUCAGUUGGUUAGAGCGCACCCCUGAUAAGGGUGAGGUCGGAGGUUCGAAUCCUCCCAGGCCCACCACUAUCGCAUGGGGCGUUAGCUCAGUUGGGAGAGCGCUAGCUUUGCAAGCUUGAGGUCAUCGGUUCGAUCCCGAUACGCUCCACCACGCGGCACUUUGGUGUAUACCUAGUGUAACUUUCCAGGAUGAAACGGGAGCGGAUCCGGCUUCGGCCGGCUAGGCGAUCAUCGAUCGCCGUCUUUGACAUUGUGAAUGGGUUUUUAAUCGAUGCCGUGGCGCAUGGCGCUACCGGUCUGCGGACUGGUGGAGCGAUGCGACACUUACAGAUGUAUAUCUGGCUGAGAUUAUCCUCCGCGCCAUCUCAAGGCGUCAGGCUUUUAUGCAGGCCUGUCGUUGAUGGUGUGGAUUCUCAAGCGUGAGGUAAGAGCAUUUGGUGGAUACCUAGGCACACAGAGA